rnacentral:rRNA from 1 species
GAGUUUGAUCUUGGCUCAGAGUGAACGCUGGCGGCAGGCCUAACACAUGCAAGUCGAACGGCAGCGCAGCAGUAGCAAUACUGUGGGCGGCGAGUGGCGGACGGGUGAGGAAUACAUCGGAAUCUACCUUGUCGUGGGGGAUAACGUAGGGAAACUUACGCUAAUACCGCAUACGACCUACGGGUGAAAGCGGCGGACCGCAAGGCGUCGCGCGAUUGGAUGAGCCGAUGUCCGAUUAGCUAGUUGGCGGGGUAAAGGCCCACCAAGGCGACGAUCGGUAGCUGGUCUGAGAGGAUGAUCAGCCACACUGGAACUGAGACACGGUCCAGACUCCUACGGGAGGCAGCAGUGGGGAAUAUUGGACAAUGGGCGCAAGCCUGAUCCAGCCAUGCCGCGUGUGUGAAGAAGGCC